UACGGAAGGUGCAAGCGUUAAUCGGAAUUACUGGGCGUAAAGCGCGCGUAGGCGGCUUGGUAAGUCGGGUGUGAAAGCCCCGGGCUCAACCUGGGAACUGCAUUCGAUACUGCCGGGCUGGAGUACGAGAGAGGGGGGUGGAAUUCCAGGUGUAGCGGUGAAAUGCGUAGAGAUCUGGAGGAACACCAGUGGCGAAGGCGGCCCCCUGGUUCGAUACUGACGCUGAGGUGCGAAAGCGUGGGGAGCAAACAGGAUUAGAAACCCUAGUAGU
rnacentral:rRNA from 1 species